UACGGGGGGUGCAAGCGUUGUUCGGAAUUACUGGGCGUAAAGGGCUCGUAGGCGGCCAACUAAGUCAUACGUGAAAUCCCUCGGCUUAACCGGGGAACUGCGUGUGAUACUGGAUGGCUUGAGAUUGGGAGAGGGAUGCGGAAUUCCAGGUGUAGCGGUGAAAUGCGUAGAUAUCUGGAGGAACACCGGUGGCGAAGGCGGCAUCCUGGACCAACACUGACGCUGAGGAGCGAAAGCCAGGGGAGCAAACGGG
rnacentral:rRNA from 1 species